GGAUUUGAGAGUGACCUGGCUGUGACACCUGUCACCCCAUUGAUCACCAGGUUGAUCCAGCUGGUCUGGCUGGCUGGGCGGAUAUCUCCUUCCCACCUUACUACUCCAGGUGCUUCCCUCCUGUGGUUGUGCUCUGGGUCAAAGAGGAUGAUCACCCCUCAUAGAGGAAGAUCUUUUCCUCAGUCAAGGUUAUAUAAGUAGUUUUGGUCCCCCGCUAGAACCUCCAACAAGCUCUGAAGGUCUAAGAACAGAUAGUAUAUUUUCACUUAUAGGAUAUUUCAAGUUCUUAUAAAUGUUUGGUAA
rnacentral:snRNA from 1 species